AGGACGAACGCUGGCGGCGUGCCUAACACAUGUAAGUCGAGCGGGUUAACCGCAAGGUUAACCUAGCGGCGGACGGGUGAGUAACGCGUGGAUAACCUGCCUCAAGGUCGGGAUAACAGCUCGAAAGGGCUGCUAAUACCGGAUGUGAUGCACUUUUCGCAUGGAGGGUGCAUGAAAGGGGAAACCCGCCUUGAGAUGGAUCCGCGUCCCAUCAGCUAGUUGGUAGGGUAAAGGCCUACCAAGGCGACGACGGGUAGCCGGCCUGAGAGGGUGACCGGCCACACUGGGACUGAGAUACGGCCCAGACUCCUACGGGGGGCAGCAGUGGGGAAUAUUGCACAAUGGGCGAAAGCCUGACGCAGCGACGCCGCGUGAGCGAAGAAGGCCUUCGGGUUGUAAAGCUCUGUCUGGAGGGACGAAAGAAAUGACGGUACCUCCGGAGGAAGCCACGGCUAACUACGUG
rnacentral:rRNA from 1 species